ensembl:lncRNA
GGGAACGCGACCGAAAUUACGCUCAGCUUUAUAGCCUGCGUUUGCACCAACAGGUUUAUACGAUUGUGUUUAGUGGAAGCGCGGUGAGAUGAUCUACAGUGCGCGCGGGACUACACUGACCUACACACCAGCUGGCAUCUGCAACAAGAAGGAUAAUUUUGCAUGUACACAUAAAAAUACUAUUUAUUACAUCUGCAGAAAACAUAGCAAUUGUCAAGUGAACCUUAAAUAAUUCUACCAUCAUGGAACUUGACGCGUCUAUCAUUCUCCCUGCGCUCUUCUUUACCAUUCUUGCUGUUGUCUUGGCAGCCAAAUUCAUCCCCAAAAAACAACCAGAGGAGAAGAAGAAGAGGGUUAAAGUAGGCAACGGAGACGACAUUCCACCUUCCAGAGGAUUGGCACCAGCAGUAGCAAUACUGGAAGUACCAAAAAUGGAGAUAGUACCAAAAGUGGAGGUACCCCCACAAGUGGUAGAAGCUGAAGUUAUACCCAAGCCAGUAACAGUUGCCCCAGUAGUUGAAGAGAUCAAUGUUGUAGAAGAAGAGACAGUUAAAGAGCCUGAAAUGAUCCCUGAGGUUCGGGCUGUGCCAGAGCCCAUGCCAGAGCCCGUGGUUGAGCCAGAACCUGUGCCUGAGCCCAUCCCUGAGCCAGAGCCCAUCCCAGUCGUUGUUGAGGAGCCCAUCCUUGAGCUCAUCGCGAACUUGAACCUGUAUCUGUGGUGAAGGAGGUCCCCGUCAGAGAGCCCACCCCUGAGCCAGCAAGGGAACCCAACCCCAAGCCAGCGAGGGAACCCACCCCUGAGCCCAUCUUCAUGCCAGAGCCAGAGGACCUUGAGAGCAACGCUGAGGAGGUGCACUUUACCCCAGGAAUGAAGAUUAGCAAGUUGGAGAAGAUGAUGACCAAGGAGGAGAUGGAGGAGGAGCAGAGGAUAGAGCUCACACCUGACUUUACCUCUCUAUAAGCAACAUCGACAAGCACACUGUGAGUUAGGAAGGAUUAUGGCUGAGUAGGCGAUGAAGAAACGGAAUGACUCAACACCCACACCUUUCUAUUCUUUACUUUGUUUUGUGAAAAGUGAUCACUGAAGAAGAACCUUUGAAACCUCUGCUGAGAAGAGUGAUCUCUUCUGUUGAUUGUCCGGCAACUUUGCUGUUGAUAUGGAAAAUAUAUGUUGCUUUUUGUCCUCUCCCCUUUUCUUUCCUUCUUUCUUACUUUGAAGGAUGUGAAUUAAAGGCUAUUGCUCAACUCUGCCUGUGAAUAGCAUGCUGCAUUACACCAAACACACAAGUGCCUAUGUGAAUCUUUAGUCCCCGCCCCUUCGCUUUCUAUCUGCUCUCUUACUGGUGGCGUCUAUCCUUUUGAUUAGAGCAGGAAUGAUUCAUUCUGGAUUCUGAGACUCUGAUAGUCGCAAAGGAACAUUUGAAGAUAAUACAUCCAUGCUUAUUACAGAGUAUGACGUGUGGGGUGUGCAAAAAAAGUUCCCGAAAAAAGUAAGGUCGGGAACCACUGGUUUAGAAGAAAUGGAUGACCAUUGCAAUACCAAUACAGUAAGGAAGUGUUUAAAUAGCUAUUAUGGGUGAAGGGGUAGGGAAGGGUUGUGUUGUUUUUCAUUGUUUUAAAAUAUGAAACUGUGAUUUAAAGACAUGACAAGUGAUUUGCAUGCAAAGGCCCCUCUACCCAAGUCUUUGUCUGUGUGGCCACUGUCCAUUGUGAGCCAGUCCCAGACACUUUAAGUAAUGUAACAAAUGCCAAUCAGUAACAUCCAAAUAGCCUACUGAUGGCAUUCUGAAUGCUGAGAAAACCAUAUAUCUCACUUCUGUCCUGACUCUGACGAUCACUGGGGCUUUUGUCACUUUAUAAGUAUGUAACCAAUGCACACUGACAAUGAAUGGGCUUCCUUUCAUAUGGGACUGGAGCUCGGUAGAUAGAAUGGCUAAAGUGGAAUAUGUGUAUGACAACCCGUAGUGAUUUUUGUAGAGGGAUUGAAAUGUUUUGUUUAAACAUUAUGUUUUUGGGCUUUUGUAAACUCUUGACUAUUAAAAGCCAGUUUGUCUAAAACCAAUGCUUGUUUAAGCCUCAUACUCAUUUCCACCCAGUAAUCCACCCAUUUUUCCAUAUCAGCACAUCUAAUUAAAAUUAAAUUCAUCUCAUCAUUGAGUUUUGCUCACCUACUUUGUAGCACAUUUUGUAGUACAUUUACAUACACAAUGCUAAUCAGUAUUGUCAUGUGUUGCAUCUUUCUAUGUAAGCCAGAAGGUCAUACAUGGAUUAAUGAUGAUGAUAUCAUAACUUCAAAUCUCUCUAUGUACAUACGCAAUAAUAGCCGUUCUCAUUGCACCACUCAGCAUAUGAUUUCUGGUAACUAGUAGGGCUUUGUAUGUUUAAGACGUGCCUUAGUUGAUGUGCCUUUGUCAGGUAGGUGUUAACUUCAGUUGGACUUGAGAUUGAAGCCCUCUGGAAGAAGGUAUUUUGAGGUGUUUUUAUUGGGCAGCCAGUAUGUGAAUGAUGACAAUAAUAAACUGUGAAGCACCUGUCUACCCCAGGAUAUGUUUUAUAGCUGUGUUUAUUAGAACAUUAGAAGACACACAGUGCCUUGCAAAAUUAUUCAUCCCCCUUGGCGUUUUUCCUAUUUUGUUGCAUUACAACCUGUAAUUGAAAUGGAUUUGUAUUUGUAUUUCAUGUAAUGGACAUACACAAAAUAGUACAAAUUGGUGAAGUGAAAUUUUUAAAAAUAAAAUAAAAAAACUGAAAAGUGGUGUGUGCAUAUGUAUUCACCCCCUUUGCUAUGAAGCCCCUAGAUAAGAUCUGGUGCAACCAAUUACCUUCAGAAGUCACAUAAUUAGUUAAAUAAAGUCCACCAGUGUACAAUCUAAGUGUCACAUGAUCUGUCACAUGAUCACAGUAUAUAUACACCUGUUCUGAAAGGCCCCAGAGUCUGCAACACCACAAAGCAAGCGGCACCAUGAAGACCAAGGAGCUCUCCAAACAGGUCAGGGACAAAGUUGUGGAGAAGUACAGAUCAGGGUUGGGUUAUAAAAAUAUCAGAAACUUUGAACAUCCCACGGAGCACCAUUAAAUCCAUUAUUAAAAAAUUGAAAGAAUAUGGCAUACAACAAACCUGCUAAGAGAGGGCCGCCCACCAAAACUCACGGACCAGGCAAGGAGGCCAUUAAUCAGAGAGGCAAAAAAGAGACCAAAGAUAACCCUGAAGGAGCUGCAAAGCUCCACAGCGGAGAUUGGAGUAUCUGUCCAUAGGACCACUUGAAGCCGUACACUCCACAGAGCUGGGCUUUACGGAAGAGUGGAAGAGUGGCCAGAAAAAAAGCCAUUGCUUAAAGAAAAAAAUAAGCAAACACGUUCGGUGUUCGCCAAAAGGCAUGUGGGAGACUCCCCAAACAUAUGGAAGGAAAAUGCUGUCUGGAGCAAACCCAACACCUCCCAUCACCCAGAGAACACCAUCCCCACAGUGAAGCAUGGUGGUGGCAGCAUCAUGCUGUGGAGAUGUUUUUCAUUGGCAGGGACUGAGACACUGGUCAGAAUUGAAGGAAUGAUGGAUGGCACUAAAUACAGGGAAGAAAGAAGAAUGAGCAAAAUCCCAGUGGCUAGAUGUGCCAAGCUUAUAGAGACAUACCCC